CCCCUAGAUGUUCUGGGCCGCACGCGCGCUACACUGAACAGUUCAACAAGUCUUAACCUUGGCCGAUAGGUCUGGGUAAUCUUUGAACGCUGUUCGUGACUGGGAUAGACCUUUGCAAUUAUGGGUCUUCAACGAGGAAUUCCUAGUAAACGCAAGUCAUCAGCUUGCAUUGAUUACGUCCCUGCCCUUUGUACACACCGCCCGUCGCACCUACCGAUUGAAUGGUCCGGUGAAAUCUCGGGACGGCGGCUUGGUCGCUUGCGUCCGACUGCUGAAACUUGAUUAAACCAUNUNAUUUAANGGAAGGUGAANUCGUANCA
rnacentral:rRNA from 1 species